ACGGCAACAUCACGUUGAAAAUCUACUUCCCGUAUGAUCACCGAAGUUAAGCAACAUUGAGCUUGUUCAGUACAUAGAUAGGUGACCGCUUGGGAAAUACCGGGUGUUA